UACGUAGGCAGCGAGCGUUGUUCGGGAGUUACUGGGCGUAAAGGGUGUGUAGGCGGUUGUUUAAGUUUGGUGUGAAAUCUCCCGGCUCAACCGGGAGGUGCGCCGAAUACUGAAUGACUAGAGUGCGGGAGAGGAAAGUGGAAUUCCUGGUGUAGCGGUGAAAUGCGUAGAUAUCAGGAGGAACACCGGUGGUGUAGACGGCUUCUGGACCGUAACUGACGCUGAGACACGAAGCGUGGGUAGCAAACAGG
rnacentral:rRNA from 1 species